rnacentral:rRNA from 1 species
UGCAAGUACGGGCAGGCAUCGGCGGAAAAGCGUAGGGGGGUAGGGUGGUCCGGAUUUAUUGGGGGUAAAGGGCUCGUGGGCGGUUCGGUAAGUAAUGUGUGGAAUCUCCAGGCUGAACGUGGAGGCGCCACCGUAAACUGCCGGGACUCGAGGCCGGUAGGGGAGGGUGGAAUUCCCGGUGUAGCGGUGAAAUGCGCAGAUAUCGGGAGGAACACCAGUAGCGAAGGCGGCACUCUGGGCCGGUACUGACGCUGAGGAGCGAAAGCGUGGGGAGCGAACAGGAUUAGAUACCCGGGUGUC